rnacentral:rRNA from 1 species
UACGGAGGGGACUAGCGUUGUUCGGAAUUACUGGGCGUAAAGCGCACGUAGGCGGAUUGUUUAGUCAGGGGUGAAAUCCCGAGGCUCAACCUCGGAACUGCCUUUGAUACUGGCAAUCUCGAGUCCGGAAGAGGUGAGUGGAAUUCCUAGUGUAGAGGUGAAAUGCGUAGAGAUCGGGAGGAACACCUGUGGCGAAGGCGGCCGACUGGGCCGACCCUGACGCUGAGGCGCGAAGGCGUGGGGAGCGAACGGG